rnacentral:rRNA from 1 species
AACGAACGCUGGCGGCGUGGUUUAGGCAUGCAAGUCGAGCGAGAAAGUCCUUCGGGACGAGUACAGCGGCGAAAGGGUGAGUAAUAUAUAGGUAACCUACCUCUUGGACUCGGAUAAUUCCUGGAAACGGGUUGUAAUACGAGAUCGUCCUAUUGGGUCGCAUGGCCCGACUGGUAAAUGGUAGCUCUGCUUCUGCCGAGAGAGGGGCCUAUAUCCUAUUAGCUAGUUGGUGAGGUAAUGGCUCACCAAGGCUUUGAUGGGUAGCCGGACUGAGAGGUUGGCCGGUCACACUGGGACUGAGACACUGCCCAGACUCCUACGGGAGGCUGCAGUCGAGAAUCUUCCGCAAUGGGCGAAAGCCUGACGGGGCGACGCCGCGUGAACGAAGAAGGCCUCGGUUGUAAGUUACUGUC